rnacentral:rRNA from 1 species
AACGGACGCUGGCGGCAGGCUUAGCACAUUCAAGUCGAACGCCCCGCAAGGGGAGUGGCAGACGGGUGAGUAACGCGUGGGAACAUACCCUUUUCUACGGAAUAGCUCUGGGAAACUGGAAUUAAUACCGUAUACGCACUACGGGGGAAAGAUUUAUCGGGGAAGGAUUGGCCCGCGUUGGAUUAGCUAGUUGGUGGGGUAAAGGCCUACCAAGGCGACGAUCCAUAGCUGGUCUGAGAGGAUGAUCAGCCACAUUGGGACUGAGACACGGCCCAAACUCCUACGGGAGGCAGCAGUGGGGAAUAUUGGACAAUGGGCGCAAGCCUGAUCCAGCCAUGCCGCGUGAGUGAUGAAGGCCUUAGGGUUGUAAAGCUCUUUCACCGAUGAAGAUAAUGACGGUAGUCGGAGAAGAAGCCCCGGUUAACUUCGUGCCAGCCGCCGCAGUAA